rnacentral:ncRNA from 1 species
GACACGAUUAUAUAUAUAUAUAUAUAACUUGACUGAACACGGGAAAACUUACUCGGCCCGGCAUAGGAAGGAUUGACAGAUUAAGAGCUCUUUUCUGAUUCUGUGGGUGGUGGCGCAUGACCGUUCUUAGUUGGUGGAGCGAUUUUUCUGGUUAAUUCCGAUAACGAACGAGACUAGCCUACUAAAUAGACGCUCCGAUCCUUUGAGUCGGACCUUCUUCUGACAAGCGGCGUUUAGCCGCACGAGACAGAGCGAUAACAAUUCUGUGAUGCCCUUAGAUGUCCGGGGCCGCACGCGCGCUACAUUGAAGGAAUCAGUGUGUGCUUUCUCUGUCCGAGAGGACUGGGUGACCCGUUGAACCUCCUUCGUGCUGGGAAUAGGGGCUUGUAACUGUUCCCGUUGAAUGAAGAAUUCACAGUAAGCACGAGUCAUAAGUUCGUGUUGAUUAUGUUCCUGCC